GCAUGUGGCUUAAUUUGACUCAACGCGGGAAAUCUUACCGGGUCCGGACACACUGAGGAUUGACAGGCAAUAUUAUACUAAAACACUCGCUCUCUAUAACACAUUCACGUGUGUCACAUGUGCGUGUGUUGCGGUAUAUGUUAAAAUAUGAUAGUCCUUUCAUGAUUAUGUGAUAGGUGGUGCAUGGCCGUUCUUACUUCGUGGAGUGAUCUGUCUGCUUAAUUGCGUUUCACUAAAGGGCUGAUACAAUGAAUAUAUUCUUAUAUACAUUAAAGCAUUCACGUGCUUCUAUAUGUGUAUAUCUAUAUACUUUUUAUGCUCUGAAAGCAACAAACGUGACCGUAACCUCUUGUUGCCUUUACACUAUACUCUUAUACAAAGGCCAACUAGAGGGACCGCUGUGACAUUCUUUCAUUCAUACGAAGGUAAGAGCGAUAACAGGCGUGAGUCC
rnacentral:rRNA from 1 species